AUACUGCUGAGCUAGGGACCGGGAGAGGCCGAGGGUAUUCCCGGGGUAGGGGUGAAAUCCUGUAAUCCCGGGAGGACCACCUGUGGCGAAGGCGCUCGGCUGGAACGGGUCCGACGGUGAGGGACGAAGGCCUGGGGAGCGAACCGGAUUAGAUACCCGGGUAGUCCAGGCUGUAAACGAUGCGGGCUAGGUGUCACCGGAGCUACGAGCUCCGGUGGUGCCGGAGGGAAGCCGUUAAGCCCGCCGCCUGGGAAGUACGGCCGCAAGGCUGAAACUUAAAGGAAUUGGCGGGGGAGCACUACAACGGGUGGAGCCUGCGGUUUAAUUGGAUUCAACGCCGGGAAGCUUACCGGGGGAGACAGCGGGAUGAAGGUCGGGCUGAAGACCUUACCAGACUAGCUGAGAGGUGGUGCAUGGCCGUCGUCAGUUCGUACUGUGAAGCAUCCUGUUAAGUCAGGCAACGAGCGAGACCCGCGCCCUCAGUUGCCAGCGGGUCCCUUCGGGGACGCCGGGCACACUGAGGGGACUGCCGGCGCUAAGCCGGAGGAAGGUGCGGGCAACGGCAGGUCCGUAUGCCCCGAAUCCCCCGGGCUACACGCGGGCUACAAUGGCCGGGACAAUGGGUACCGACCCCGAAAGGGGUGGGUAAUCUCCUAAACCCGGUCUAACCUGGGAUCGAGGGCUGCAACUCGCCCUCGUGAACCUGGAAUCCGUAGUAAUCGCGUCUC
rnacentral:rRNA from 1 species